rnacentral:misc_RNA from 1 species
GUAUUAAAUGCGGUUUUAUCGCGAUGUUACAUUCUAAACUGAAGCGUGUAUAUAAAAACGUAGCCUGACCUCCCAAAGCUUUGCAGCUUGGUAACGUCUAGACCACAAAGGUGCACAGGUGUGAGAUGGAUGAGAAGGGCCGAGCACAUGCCUCGGAAGGCCAGCAUCAAAACCCAUUUCAAAACUCGAUAAUGAUCCUUCCGCAGGUUCACCUACGGAAA